UGAUAAACAAAGACCAAACCUUGAGGGGUUUAGGGUAUCUUUUAUUUCUCUUUAUUUAUCAUGUUUUCUAGAUUAUCUAUGUUAGGUUUAUCAUGUAUGAGUUCAUGUUCAUACUCUUGGAUCUUUUGUAUUUGAAUGCCAAUUCAUUGUUCUAGUUGAUAUACCUUCUAGGGGCUUUGGAUUGCAUUAUUUACUUAGCUUAAUCCAUAUUUCUUAUUAAUGUUCUUACUCGAUUAGUGUUUAUCAUAUGAAAUUCAAAGGGGUCUAACUAGUUCAUAGUUAGGUUUUUGUCAAUCUCUAUUUUAAACCCUAAUCUUUUGGAUAGAUUCCGCAUCAUCUUGGUAUCAGUAUCAGAGGAGAGGUUAAAGGAUAUGUCUAUCAAUGCUUGGAUUUUGUUUUGAUUAUCAUCAAAUCAGAAAAUCACCAAAAAAAAAAAAAUUAUUUUGGGUUACUGUUCAUCCGUGCUGUUUGUUCCAGAAUUAGAAUUUCGCUACUGUUCCUAAUGUUACUGUUCGAAAAACCUUCCAAAAUUCUGAAAACUUCUGAAGAUUUGAGCAUCGAUCGAUUCAUAGCUCGAGUAAUUCCUGGUUUAAGUUUGGAUUAAGCUGGGUUUGAGCUUCUGAACCCUAAGACGCCGAACAACAGAAGCGAUUUUGGGGAUUUUUGCUCCGAAUCGAAAUUUUGAGCUCGAAAUAUAUCGGGUAUGUUCUAAUCUUGUUGGUACAGCUUGAUUGAGGUGAAAUAUGAAGUUAGCGCUCGAUUACAACUGAAUUCGAGCUGGUUGCUAGGGUUUUGGGUUCGAAACUUCUAACUGAUUGUCGACGAGGAAGAUGACACUGGGUCUUCUGAUUUUGGGAUUGAUUCUCAAGCUAUUCUGAAGCUGAAUCUGAAAUUUGGAGUCGAUUGAAGUUUGUUUGAACUGUUUGAGUACGAAAAUUUACGAUAUUGACUCGCCGAAGAAGAUGACUUGUUCUUGCUUUGAUUUCGUGUCUGCUUGCUGAGAUUAGUUUCUGGGGGUUUGAUUCUCUGUUUGAAAGGAGCUCAUAAUUCAAAAUUGAUUCCACUUGGUUGAGCUUUGGGAGAAAUAUCACUGCUGAGGCUCGAGGAUGCUAAGAACACCAGUUGCAAACUUGAAGAACUUCGCGGACACUCGAUUCGAGCAGCUGGUAAAUCGAUGAAGAACACCUGUAGAGCUAGUGAUUGCAAUUCAUUCGUCGCAAUGAUUCAGCUGUUGCAUUUUGAAGAAAGGGAGAGAAUUGCUUCAGGUUUGGGACAACAUAUGUGCUGAUAAAGUCUCCUCAGCUUAGGCAUUCUGUCCAGAACUUGCACCAGUUAUUUGCUCCAGUUAUCCGCUGAAAUUGAGCAGUAUUUGACAGCAUUCCUGCACUAUUUUGAAGCUGCAAUUUCUACUAAGUUUGAGCAGAGUUCUACAUUGCUUAACAGCAAAAUUACAGUUGAGAAAUGUUUCUGCCAGCUACUUUGUGAACCAGUUCUGCUGCUGAAGUUUGAGGAGGAUUUUUGUUAAGUUGUGAGUCUCUUUUGGGCUGAAAUUCAUCUAGAUUUUUUUCUGCAGUUUUUUGUUGUGGACUGUUUUCUGCAAGAACUGGACUGUUUUUCAACAGCAUAACUUCUGCAUUGCAAAUAUGACCAAAAUUUGAAAAAAGUGUCUAGUUUUGUAGUUUCUUUUGUUUUCUUUCCUCCAGUUUGUGGUAAACCAAAUUCUCAACUAAACUAACUUGAUAUUAGUUCAUAUUGAGUUUAUUUCUAGUUUCUUUGUGUACUUUGUUUAUUUCGUGCCAAUUUUUCGUGCUUUUCUCUUUUGAUUUCGUUGUGCAUUGUUUGGCUCAAGUCCGUUAGUUUUUAAUUGUACUUUCUUUGGUGUCACAUAUAUUCCAUUCCGAACCGAUACUUGAUUACCUACUUGGAUUGAUUUGAGAAUGUUGGUUGUGAAGAAAACUUUUAGAUACUCUUGUGUGGAAAAAGGCUUGAGUGGUGAGUUCAAUUGAGCGAGGUCGCAAAAGCCUUUGACCUUUGAUUGUAAACACGAGUGUUGAGUGACAUAUAUAUCGAGUAUUACACUAAGGGAGUGAACAGUGAGGUCUUAUUUUGACUAACCAACUUUCUUGCUUUAAGUUUUCUUUUGUAGGUACAAGGAGUCAUAAGGGAGGGAUGGAUGGUUAUGGCACUUCUUCUUAUGAAACUAAUUGUGCUCCUCCAAGUGUUGAAAUCUUUUAUGAUGAAAGUGGGAGAAAGAUAAAUUUGAGGCAUUAUGUAGCGAAUGUAGAAGGCUAUGAAAGUUGUUUGGUUGCUAUAAGUACUCACUAUGUGACCAAUUUUAUUGCUUCUUCCUUUGUUGAAUGGUUGGGAUUGAGUUGUAUUCCAAGGGAAUCGCCUUGUAAAUUUCGGGGUGAGUUGGUUGAUAGAGGUGUGAUGGUUACUAUAACUAAAAGAGACUUUAAAGAAGUGGUUUGGUGUGAUGUAUACCCUAUGAAGUAUUGCCAUGUACGAUUGGGAAAGCCUUGGUUUCUUGAUCAUAAUCUUCUUAUUGAUGUAGAAUGGAAUAGGUAUGUGAUCGAUAUAAAUGGAAGGGGGCAUUCCUUCA